rnacentral:rRNA from 1 species
GACGAACGCUGGCGGCGUGCUUAACACAUGCAAGUCGAACGAAGAGCGAUGGAAGCUUGCUUCUAUCAAUCUUAGUGGCGAACGGGUGAGUAACGCGUAAUCAACCUGCCCUUCAGAGGGGGACAACAGUUGGAAACGACUGCUAAUACCGCAUACGAUCUGACCUCGGCAUCGAGGAUAGAUGAAAGGUGGCCUCUACAUGUAAGCUAUCACUGAAGGAGGGGAUUGCGUCUGAUUAGCUAGUUGGAGGGGUAACGGCCCACCAAGGCGAUGAUCAGUAGCCGGUCUGAGAGGAUGAACGGCCACAUUGGGACUGAGACACGGCCCAGACUUCUACGGGAGGCAGCAGUGGGGAAUCUUCCGCAAUGGACGAAAGUCUGACGGAGCAACGCCGCGUGAGUGAUGACGGCCUUCGGGUUGUAAAGCUCUGUUAAUCGGGACGAAAGGCCUUUUUGCGAAUAGUGAGAAGGAUUGACGGUACCGGAAUAGAAAGCCACGGCUAACUACGUG